CGAAGGGGCUAGCGUUGCUCGGAAUCACUGGGCGUAAAGCGCACGUAGGCGGCUCUUUAAGUCAGGGGUGAAAUCCUGGAGCUCAACUCCAGAACUGCCUUUGAUACUGAGGAGCUUGAGUCCGGGAGAGGUGAGUGGAACUGCGAGUGUAGAGGUGAAAUUCGUAGAUAUUCGCAAGAACACCAGUGGCGAAGGCGGCUCACUGGCCCGGUACUGACGCUGAGGUGCGAAAGCGUGGGAGCAAACAGGAUU
rnacentral:rRNA from 1 species